rnacentral:tRNA from 1 species
GCCGAAGUGGCGAAAUUGGUAGACGCGCUAGGUUCAGGACCUAGUGGGCAUUAGCCCGUGGAGGUUCGAGUCCUCUCUUCGGCACCA